rnacentral:rRNA from 1 species
UUUAGUCAGGCAACGAGCGAGACCCACGCGAGCAGUUGCCAGCUUGACCUUCGGGUUGAUGGGGACACUGCUCGGACCGCCUCUGCUAAAGGGGAGGAAGGAAUGGGCAACGGUAGGUCAGCAUGCCCCGAAUUAUCCGGGCUACACGCGGGCUACAAUGGACAGGACAAUGGGUUUCGACACCGAGAGGUGAGGAUAAUCUCCUAAACCUGUCCGAAGUUCGGAUUGCGGGUUGUAACUCACCCGCAUGAAGCUGGAAUCCGUAGUAAUCGCGUUUCAACAUAGCGCGGUGAAUAUGUCCCUGCUCCUUGCACACACCGCCCGUCAAACCACCCGAGUGAGGUCUUGAUGAG